CCUUACCUGGCCUUGACAUACUAAGAACUUUCAGAGAUGGAUUGGUGCCUUCGGGAACUUAGAUACAGGUGCUGCAUGGCUGUCGUCAGCUCGUGUCGUGAGAUGUUGGGUUAAGUCCCGCAACGAGCGCAACCCUUUUCCUUAUUUGCCAGCGGGUUAAGCCGGGAACUUUAAGGAUACUGCCAGUGACAAACUGGAGGAAGGCGGGACGACGUCAAGUCAUCAUGGCCCUUACGGCCAGGGCUACACACGUGCUACAAUGGUCGGUACAAAGGGUUGCUACCUCGCGAGAGGAUGCUAAUCUCAAAAAGCCGAUCGUAGUCCGGAUCGCAGUCUGCAACUCGACUGCGUGAAGUCGGAAUCGCUAGUAAUCGCGGAUCAGAAUGCCGCGGUGAAUACGUUCCCGGGCCUUGUACACACCGCCCGUCACACCAUGGGAGUUUGUUGCACCAGAAGUAGGUAGUCUAACCGCAAGGAGGACGCUUACCACGGUGUGGCCGAUGACUGGGGUGAAGUCGUAACAAGGUAAGCGUAGAUGA
rnacentral:rRNA from 1 species